GACGAACGCUGGCGGCGUGCUUAACACAUGCAAGUCGAACGGAAAGGCCCUGCUUUUGUGGGGUGCUCGAGUGGCGAACGGGUGAGUAACACGUGAGUAACCUGCCCUUGACUUUGGGAUAACUUCAGGAAACUGGGGCUAAUACCGGAUAGGGGCUCCUGCUGCAUGGUGGGGGUUGGAAAGUUUCGGCGGGUGGGGAUGGACGCGCGGCUUAUCAGCUUGUUGGUGGGGUAGUGGCUUACCAAGGCUUUGACGGGUAGCCGGCAUGAGAGGGUGACCGGCCACAUUGGGACUGCGAUACGGCCCAGACUCCUACGGGAGGCAGCAGUGGGGAAUAUUGCACAAUGGGCGGAAGCCUGAUGCAGCAACGCCGCGUGCGGGAUGACGGCCUUCGGGUUGUAAACCGCUUUCGCCUGUGACGAAGCGUGAGUGACGGUAAUGGGUAAAGAAGCACCGGCUAACUACGUG
rnacentral:rRNA from 1 species